rnacentral:rRNA from 1 species
AGUGAACGCUGGCGGUAGGCCUAACACAUGCAAGUCGAACGGCAGCACAGUAAGAGCUUGCUCUUACGGGUGGCGAGUGGCGGACGGGUGAGGAAUACAUCGGAAUCUACUUUUUCGGGGGGGAUAACGUAGGGAAACUUACGCUAAUACCGCAUACGACCUACGGGUGAAAGCAGGGGAUCUUCGGACCUUGCGCGAUUGAAUGAGCCGAUGUCGGAUUAGCUAGUGGGCGGGGUAACGGCCAACCAAGGCGACGAUCCGUAGCUGGUCUGAGAGGAUGAUCAGCCACACUGGAACUGAGACACGGUCCAGACUCCUACGGGAGGCAGCAGUGGGGAAUAUUGGACAAUGGGCGCAAGCCUGAUCCAGCCAUACCGCGUGGGUGAAGAAGGCCUUCGGGUUGUAAAGCCCUUUUGUUGGGAAAGAAAAGCAGCAGGUUAAUACCCCGCUGUUCUGACGGUACCCAAAGAAUAAGCACCGGCUAACUUCGUG